rnacentral:rRNA from 1 species
GAUGAACGCUGGCGGCGUGCCUAAUACAUGCAAGUCGAGCGAACAGACGAGGAGCUUGCUCCUCUGACGUUAGCGGCGGACGGGUGAGUAACACGUGGAUAACCUACCUAUAAGACUGGGAUAACUUCGGGAACCCGGAGCUAAUACCGGAUAAUAUAUUGAACCGCAUGGUUCAAUAGUGAAAGACGGUUUUGCUGUCACUUAUAGAUGGAUCCGCGCCGCAUUCGCUAGUUGGUAAGGUAACGGCUUACCAAGGCAACGAUGCGUAGCCGACCUGAGAGGGUGAUCGGCCACACGGGAACUGAGACACGGUCCAGACUCCUACGGGAGGCAGCAGUAGGGAAUCUUCCGCAAUGGGCGAAAGCCUGACGGAGCAACGCCGCGUGAGUGAUGAAGGUCUUCGGAUCGUAAAACUCUGUUAUUAGGGAAGAACAAAUGUGUAAGGAACUGUGCACGUCUUGACGGUACCUAAUCAGAAAGCCACGGCUAACUACGUG